rnacentral:rRNA from 1 species
GGGACACGUGGUAUCCUGUCUGAAUAUGGGGGGACCAUCCUCCAAGGCUAAAUACUCCUGACUGACCGAUAGUGAACCAGUACCGUGAGGGAAAGGCGAAAAGAACCCCGGCGAGGGGAGUGAAAAAGAACCUGAAACCGUGUACGUACAAGCAGUGGGAGCACGCUUAGGCGUGUGACUGCGUACCUUUUGUAUAAUGGGUCAGCGACUUAUAUUCUGUAGCAAGGUUAACCGAAUAGGGGAGCCGAAGGGAAACCGAGUCUUAACUGGGCGUUAAGUUGCAGGGUAUAGACCCGAAACCCGGUGAUCUAGCCAUGGGCAGGUUGAAGGUUGGGUAACACUAACUGGAGGACCGAACCGACUAAUGUUGAAAAAUUAGCGGAUGACUUGUGGCUGGGGGUGAAAGGCCAAUCAAACCGGGAGAUAGCUGGUUCUCCCCGAAAGCUAUUUAGGUAGCGCCUCGUGAAUUCAUCUCCGGGGGUAGAGCACUGUUUCGGCAAGGGGGUCAUCCCGACUUACCAACCCGAUGCAAACUGCGAAUACCGGAGAAUGUUAUCACGGGAGACACACGGCGGGUGCUAACGUCCGUCGUGAAGAGGGAAACAACCCAGACCGCCAGCUAAGGUCCCAAAGUCAUGGUUAAGUGGGAAACGAUGUGGGAAGGCCCAGACAGCCAGGAUGUUGGCUUAGAAGCAGCCAUCAUUUAAAGAAAGCGUAAUAGCUCACUGGUCGAGUCGGCCUGCGCGGAAGAUGUAACGGGGCUAAACCAUGCACCGAAGCUGCGGCAGCGACGCUUAUGCGUUGUUGGGUAGGGGAGCGUUCUGUAAGCCUGUGAAGGUGUGCUGUGAGGCAUGCUGGAGGUAUCAGAAGUGCGAAUGCUGACAUAAGUAACGAUAAAGCGGGUGAAAAGCCCGCUCGCCGGAAGACCAAGGGUUCCUGUCCAACGUUAAUCGGGGCAGGGUGAGUCGACCCCUAAGGCGAGGCCGAAAGGCGUAGUCGAUGGGAAACAGGU